rnacentral:rRNA from 1 species
GACGAACGCUGGCGGCGUGCUUAACACAUGCAAGUCGAACGGAAAGGCCCCCUUGUGGGGUACUCGAGUGGCGAACGGGUGAGUAACACGUGAGUAACCUACCCUUGACUUUGGGAUAACUUCAGGAAACUGGGGCUAAUACCGGAUAGGAGCUCCUGCUGCAUGGUGGGGGUUGGAAAGUUUCGGCGGUUGGGGAUGGACUCGCGGCUUAUCAGCUUGUUGGUGGGGUAGUGGCUCACCAAGGGUUUGACGGGUAGCCGACCUUGGGAGGGGACCGGCCCCAAGUGGCCUGAGGUACGGACCAGACGCCAAUGGGGGGCAAUAGGGGGGAACAUGACACAGUGGGGCGGAGUCUGAGAUGACGACCCCGCGUGCGGGAUGACGGCCUUCGGGUUGUAAACCGCUUUCGCCUGAGACGAAGCGUGAGUGACGGUAAUGGGUAAAGAAGCACCGGCUAACUACGUG